AUGGAACACGCCAAGAUGGAGAAAACAAGGAAGUACACCAAGAUGAACCUCAUCGACCUCCCUCUCCACCUCCACAAGAGGACAACAACACCAACAAUGAAGAAGGCCAAGAGGAAGAACAAGAUGAUGAAGAGGAUGUUCCACCCCGACCCAUACAAAAGCUCUCACGAGUUAGAGCAAGAGUUUCAAGAGAUCAUCCCGUCGAGCAAAUCUUUGAUGAUAUUCAAACCGGGAGAAUUACUCGCUCUAAAACUUGUUUGGCUAAUUUUUGUGAACAUUAUUCAUUCAUCUCUAGUAUUGAACCUAUGA
rnacentral:rRNA from 1 species